GUCUCCUCUGAUGCGCGGUGUCUGGCGCGUCCUCGGCUUCCCGAUGGCCAGAGCUUCCUCUGAUGCCCGGGGGCCGACGUCUCCUUGGCUUUCCGGCGGCUCCGACGCGAGAACUCCACGGCUUCCAGUUGACUUAUUCAACUAUUCUUUUCUUCGAUUUUCAUCCUUCGUCUUAUAUAUGUGGUCAUCUCUCAUUAAUUUUUCCGGUUCUGUUUAGUUAUGCAAUCACCCACCACAUUGCAAUGUUGGCGACCAGGUGCGCGGUGGCAGACUUUCUGGGUUUGGAUGGUUGACCUGCCGAGCUUCCCAUGCGGAGAGAUGCCGCUGCUUCAGAUCGUAGCCUCCAUGCCCAGGAGCCUCCGCUAAUGAGCUUUUAUGUCACUAUGUCAGUGGUUUUCAGAAAGAUGCUAAAACAAGAGAGUUUCAGGGGUUGGCAUUUGAGUUCAAUCUCUGCGAAGCUUUGCCCUCAAGGGAGCAGGUAGGUAUUUUUUUCGACUCUGCUGACUUAUCUUUCUGAUUCAGUUGAUAUAACUUCAGGUCCAGGGGCUGCCUUAUUUACAGAUAUGAGAUUAACUCAUGCAAGGAUGAAGUACCAGAGUACAUUACAAAGCAUGGAAUUCACAUCUGUCGGGGGGCAUGUUGUUGUGGCUGGGAGGGGCAGUGUUGAGCGGCGGCGGUAGCGGCAAUGGGGGAUGGGCGUGGUUGUAUGGACCAAGAGCGGGCACAAUGAGCUGCUGCUCUGCGGUUCCUCCAUCUUCUGCUGAAUUAUUUGCUCUUACAAAGGAAGGUAAGCUUGACGGAAAAUUAUGUUUUGAAUCUAACACUCCUCUGUUACAAUUUUUGUUUGCCCUGCUCUAUAUUUUCUUCCCUUUCGAUCUCGAUUCUCUUCCCUAUACCAGUUAAUUCUGAAUUGGUGACAAGUAUUGACAAUUGCUAUUCGGUGAAGGUAAUUUUACUACCAAGUUAAUGGCACUGUAUAGUUUAGAAAGUGGUUCAAAUUCAGGACAGAAAGGAACUAAACUGGUUCAUGUCCAGACUCCAGAGAAAAGAAUGAUUUAAACAAAUAGAAUGGUAGUACAAACAAGCACAAAUUAAGAGAAUGUUUUUUGAGCAUUGUUUUAUUUUCGUGAUGAGUAAUUCAAUUCCAUAUACUGCAGUCCAUGAGACAAAAUUCAGUUCACCCAGUUAAGCAAUAUGUAUAUCCUUGAAUGAUGUUCCCUGAUUUAUUUAAAAAAAAAUCCUUGAUGAGCUACCAGCUACACUGGUAAUGGUGUUUCAGAGAAUUGGUCCAGUUACUCACUAGAGUGAAAUGUAGUAGAACUACUCCAGAAAAGGUACUCUGAUUUCUUUGGAAACCUGUAUUGAUUGGAGCAUAUGCAUGUCAAAACUUAACCAGAAGUGUACCCCCUACUACGUGGAAUAUUUAAUCACCCUUGAUAUGUAUUGGUAUGUUUACAAAAAAAGGAAUCAAUCUCUCAAAAAGAAUGCACAAUGAUUUGGCAUAUUAUACUUCAUGUGCCUUUGUUCUGCUAUAGUACACUCGAACCAUGGAAACAUGAGCUUCAGUUUUUGCAUGAUUCAGAUUUUUACAGGUACAUAUGUGUUCUACUUCUCAAGUGAGGCAGGCAUUUGCUGUGUGUUUGCUUAAGGAGAAGACAACCCAACAGCUUCUUCGUAUCGAUUAUUUUGAUCAAUAGGUCAUAUUGUCAGUAUCACUGUAUUUUAUUCAAUCUUUAGUAGUUUAAUUACUUGCACAACAAUAUUACCUAACUGAAUGUUCCUCCCAUUUAGAUUUUUUACUCUGCAGUAGUAAGAAAUUCAGUGGUUCAUCUGACUUACCAGGGGAUUUACUACUGAAUUUCUUCACCAACAUUUUAGAGUGUGUUUGACUGGUGUAAUGGUGUUCUCGAUGAACAUUUUCAUCUGAGUGAGCUUAGUACAAUAUCAGAUUGACUACUUCAAGUACAUUUAAACUUGCCUUUCCACAGUUGUGUGCUCUGUGUCAAGCCAAUAUCAGAUUGACUACUUCAAGUACAUUUAAACUUGCCUCAGAAUGUGUCAAUGAAGAACGGAAAAAUAUUUGAUCUAUAUUCAGGUUAGGUGCCAUGUUCGUCUGUACUUUCUAGCUAUUCCAUUGUCUUUAAUUGCUUCGACCAUUUCAGUUUUCCUAGAAUUGAUGGCAUCACAAGUUUCAGUUAAGCACACAGAAUUCUUAUGCGGUACAGGUUAAGUUCCACGUUCUUCUCUACUUUCUAGCUAUUCCAUUGUUUUUAAUUGGUUUGAGAAGUCUAGAUUUCCUAGAAUUGAUGAGGGUUAAAAUUGAUGGCUGUGCUAAGUUAAGACCACAUUUUAUUCAUUGCUUUAAUUUCCUAGAAGAAAAACUGGGACAGGACACUGGGACUGGGACGGGAGCAACCAACAAUUUUCUGUACUUAAAGAUGUCAGCUCUGCAACUGAAAAGAAGAUAAGGAAGGCCAAAGCAUGGCUACUGCACCAGCCAAGAAACCACUCCUCGAUUCACCUAGAAGAACGGCUCAGGUCAGCCUAAGCACCGAUGAAGCAAAGAUUUAAUACACUACUACCAAUCAGUUAUGUAUAGUAUUAUGGACCUACCAACUAUCCUAGACGAUAAGUAAUUUCGACGUAUUGUAAUAUUAAGUAUUCAUCACCCAGCUAUGUAUAAUUGUCCUAAUCGUACUAUCAUGUUUCUGCAAUAUUCUACUACUUGGUACAGUUGAUCGCUCUAGGUACUAUGUAUAAUACUCUGUUCGGUACA